CCUCCUCGUGUAACACUGGUGUGAAACUCUCCUCUAAGUCUUUGUUUUUUGGGGGAAGGGGGGCAAACACGUACGUCUUAAAUCAGCGUAUGAAAACUUGACAUCCCGGGAUCUUGUUUCCCAAAUAUGUCUGAAACCUGUCAUAUCUGCUUCCCUGGGACAACACAGAAGUGGUCCUUGGCCCUGCAUCGCUAUCCAUUUCCAGAUAAAGGUUAUCUGAUUAUAGUCAAUAUAGAAUUUUCAAAUUUCGAAACAUUUUAUUAUUACAAUAGUGGCUAUUACCGUUUCUUACAGACACCCUAUCAGAAGGUUUAAAAAAUGUAUGCUUUGGUUCAUGGGGUGGAGGGGGGGGGUAGAAAGGUCAAAACUUUUAAAAUGUCACUUCUUCGGCAGUUUUUGCAUAGAAAAUACACGGGAGCGGUGGGGGGCCUGCCUGCCCAUAGAAACGGCGGCAGGAAAGAAUGUCUCCCUGCAGCUGAGUUUCCACUUUCGCCGCAGCUGCGGGCUGAGCAGAAAAGCACGGUGGGAGCCCAUUGUUGCCCAGCUGGGUAACAGUUUUCUUAUUUUACAGUCAGUAUCCGAGGGGGGGUUGGGUGUCUCCUAAAGUGCCUGAAAAAUAAUCUAUCUGCUGCAAAUAGAUCGCGUUCUCCCUCUUCCCGAAGGAGCGGGGAAUCUAUAAAUUGCGUCCUUCAUUUGGACCUCGGCGUGUAAUUAAACAUGGCAAGCAAAAGCCACCCCAAAUGCGAGGCGCAGAUUCCGCGUGCUUUCCUAGCCGACCUGGGAUUUCGGAACGGCGUUUGCAGGGCCCCCCCUCCCGAGCUUGGUGGCAACAAUUGCGUACUCCGCCUACCGUCAGCCAACUGUUCCUGCCUUGAAGGUCACCUGCCAUAAGGCUGAAGAACGACAAACUGAAAAUUUAAUUUCAAGGGUUUGCAGCAGGCAGCGGUUCCCCGGGCAUCUGAAUCCAGCCAUUGUUUCCUGUGCCCAGUUUGUGCAAACCCAUAGUCGGCGAGGCAGCGCGCCCAUGGCUCAGGAGAGCGCACGCCCGGUCUCUGACUUGUUUUCUUUUGUUGUUUUGUUUUUAACUGUGAAUUGUCCAUCAGGUUUUUGUUACCAUGGAAACUCACUUGUUAAAGGUGAAGAGUCAGAGACCUUUGGCCACUCGACGGUAGGAAUUCACUCUCUGGCAGGUGAAGCCGUGGCGUUUCCACGUGACUCUAAUCUCCAGGCUGGAAGGCACAAGAGGGAUGGCCGCACUCUGUAAAACCAAGUCAUCCUCGCAUUGGCUGUAGAGACCGAAAGAAGUGGUGCUGGCGUCAGAUCCAAGGUUUUCUUACCCUCCUGGGGGUGGCCUGACUGAGAUGCUCGCUGGGAAUCUGGAAGUGGAUCCCCAGGGACGCCAGUGGUGAGCAACCCAGUGGUGAGCUGGCAGGUGUGAGCCUCCUUAGCCCGGAGACCCAUCUGGGGUGGUUUCUGAUCAUAGGGAGUAAACGUGUCCGGGGUGUGGCUCAGAGGCAUGAUUCUUGCCUGAUGUUUAGGAGGCCCUGGGUUCCACCCGCGCCGAGAAAGCAAGUGGAUAAACAGCUGAUAUCCAGUGCUUAGUCUCCUCGGGACUAAGAGCAGGACCCGGUGCUCAUCUUCAGAGAGCUGUCUCCAAAGUCCCCAGCUGGGAACACACCAAGCGUGGACAGAACAGCUGCUCUCCACUGAAGAGGAACCUAUUGCACGUGCUACAGUGGAGGCUUGGGACACUUGAGUGACCGUCUUAGUUGGGGUUUCUAUUGCUGUGAUGAAACACCACGACCAAAAGCAACCUGGGGAGGAAAGGGUUUGUUUGGCUCACACUUCCACCAAGGAAGUCAGGACAGGAACUCAAGCAGGGCAGGAACCUGGAGGCAUGAGCUGAGGCAGAGGCCAUGGAGGGGUGCUGCUUACUGACUUGCUCCUCAAGGCUUACUCAGCUUUUCUUAUAGAAUCCAGGACCACCUGCUGGGUGUGGCCCCUCCCACAAUGGGCUGGGCCCUCCCCCAUCAAUCACUAAUUAAGAAAAUGCCGUACAGCUGGAUUUUAAAGAGGCAUUUUCUUUUUUUUUUUUUUUUUUGUUUUUUUUGUUUUUUUUGUUUUUCGAGACAGGGUUUCUCUGUGUAGCUUUGCUCCUUUCCUGGAACUCACUUGGUAGCCCAGGCUGGCCUCGAACUCACAGAGAUCCGCCUGGCUCUGCCUCCCGAGUGCUGGGAUUAAAGGCGUGCGCCACCACCGCCCGGCAAGAGGCAUUUUCUUAAUUGAGGUUCUCUCCUUUCAGAUGACUGUAGCUUGUGUCCAGUUGACAUAGAACUAGGCAGGACUCUGUCUCUUGCUUGUGCUCUUCAUUCUCAGACUGUUUCUGUGAUUGCUUGGCAAUGCUGAUCCAAAGAAAGACUUUCUUUUCUUUUUCUUUUUCUUUAUUUUUUUGAGGCAGCAUCUCAUAUAUCCCAGGUUGGUCUCAAAUGUAGCCAAGUUUGACCUUCAGAAACUCCUGAUCCUCCUGUCUCUACUUCCUGAGCGCUGGGAUUACAGGGAUGCUCCGUUAUGCUGUUUGUGGUUCUGAGGAUGGAACCCAGGGCCUUUCCAUGCUAGGUAAGCAUGCUACGACCUGAAUUAUGUGCCCAGCCUGAGAAAAAGAUUCUUAAUGUGGGAACCUGGCUACAUGAGGGACAGACGCUGCAAAGCCCAAGUGAGUGUGAGCAAGCCGUGAGGUUCCAUUUUUCUGGAAUGUGUGACGGGCCUUGGAAUGACCAAGAGACUGGACUUGUUCCAAGCAAAGCAUGGGAGAGGGAGCAGUCUCUACCAGCCACCGGUGUUUCGGGGGGUCAAGCUGUGAGCUGGGAUUCUCCCCACCCUCCUGGGAUGGUGGAAGUAAAGCCAACAUGCUUUUCUAUAUUGACCUUGUCCUGGGUUUGUGGCUCUCUGGGCACAAGCCUGGAUGCAAAUGGUGAGGUGUCUGCUGCUGGCUGCCCAUACCCUGAGGCAUGGGGCUUCAGUGCCCAGUGUGGCUCAGGAAAGAGCAGGGACACAGACCAGGAUGAGGGCAGAGAGCAAGGCAGCACUUAUCUGUGGAGGUUCUCACAUCGGGGUUCCUGUGACAGCAUGCCUGCUGCUGGCCCUGCUCAGAAAUGCUUGGUGAAUGCGUGAUGCACACGGAGAAUCUAAUCAAGGCUUUCACUCCACCCCAGGACCUUUGGGAGACGGAGAGAAGAAACUCUGGGGACCCCUUUCCCAGCCCCUCUUCCAUAUCCCACCAUGCUGCUCUUCUCCCCACCCCACCCCUACUCACUAGCAGUUACUAAAGACAGAGGCCAUGAGAGACGACUCUCAGCUCUGAAGAAAUCAUCCCGAGAAACUGAGAAAAGAAUGAGCAAUUUCAAAGAAACUUGGUGUUCCUUUCCCUCUCACUGGGUUUACAUCUGUUUCCCUAGAAGCAACAUCUGCAUGUCAUUCUCCUGCGUGCUCAUAUCAGGAUGGUGGCCUCUUGCACUGACAAAUUGAGAGACGUGGUCACCCAGGAAACAUCAGGAGCCCGAGGUGAACACAGGAGACCGGACCACGCCUCCCUGCACUCAGGGUGUUUGCUGUCCCUGACUCAUAGCUACCAUGGCUACUGGGCUCAUCUGUCCCAAUUUCCCAGCAUUGCCUGAGUUAGUCUCUAGGUUUCUAGGACUACGUGGCAGCCUAGGGGAGACAGAGGCCUUCACAUCAGCCUAAGUCUGACAAGGCAGGUCACCUAAACUUAAAAGCAUAAUUAGCAGAGGGACAGACCAUGGCCUUAAGAAGUUUGUCUCAAGGACUAGGAACAGGAAUCUGGUAAUAAACCCUGGUAUAGUGCGAGGUUGGGCAAAGCCAGCACAGACUCAGACACAGACCUUUGGAUGAAAGGACACCCCCUGGGACACAGUGGGCUGGAUGGACUCCAGGGAUCCUUCUCACAAUGUCUCUAGUUGGUCAGAUGCAACGGUGUUGUUUUAUCUCAUCUUUAUUAUGAAAUUGCACCCACAUCUCGGCUUAAAGAAUAAGGAUGAAAUAACCCUGAAUGUCAGUCUUCCACCUGUUGCCAACUUCAAAGAAGAGAUAUGGAUAACAGUGACCUGUGGGACACUGGGUUCCCUCCAAAUUAAAAAUAAUGAAGUUGGGAUUUUGCAGCAAGAGGAACAUGCCGUGUGCCAGUGGGAAAUCUCAUCAGUCCCCUGAGCUGGGAAUGCGGGCAGAUUUUAGCUUGCCUGGGAGUUAAAGGAGAGCGCGGCAGAGCCUCAGGGUGCUUGCUUUGCAGGAGAGGAAGGCUGAGGGAGAAGGCACCUGGCUCCCUGGCUUCAUUUAGUGAUUAAAUAUCUGUGGCUGGUGUGAGGCACGGAGCAUGGUCACUAGUUAGAUGGGAAAGUGUGGAAAUGCAAACCGAACAGAGAAAAAAGUGGAAAUAAAUGCCAAGGAGCUCAAACUAUCCAGAGAAGAAAGGAAAGGCUACAAUGUAAUGGAUAAUAACCACAGGGUAAGACAGUUAUUACACUAAACGUGAAGAAGAUAGAUUUCCCAAGUGAACUUUGAGAGGUGGUUAGACUGAGUUUUAAAAAAAUACAUACGCAUGCUCACAUUUUAAAUAUCCUUCUAACUGUGCUGGGAAAAGCUGCCAACAGAUGUGAGCAAAUGAAAACAGGAACAUAGUGAUGCUCCUCCUACCAGAGACCUUAGGGGCCAUGGCUCCCAACAGCAUUCGAGCACACAGCACCGUUAUGAAACUCAGUUUGCCAAGAUGGGUCAGUGACCAAGGGCAGAUGGACGCAGUGACAAAGUAGGGAAAAAAAUACUAGGGUACCAGGAUGGCAGUUCCACAGCAGAAACUAAAAUAGCCCCAGUGCAUGAAGCUCCGUGCAGUUUGCAGGUUUGUAACGAUGGAUGAGAAACUGAAACAUGAAGCAUUGUAACGAUGGGGGACGGACUUCACCACGUAACUAACUAGAACUUGGUGAAAUAUUCCUCCCAUCCGUGUGUCAACGAGACCAUCUUGGACUUCUCAGUUACCAUGGAAAGCACCCAAUAAUAAUGCAUUCUUCAAGAGGCCCAUUUGCUGGCUGACGUGCUCAAGGUUAAGUCAGAGAGCCACCGUGUUGAAAUCCUGAGGGAGGGGUCCCUAAACCUUAGGGCAAUUUCUCCUGCUUCUGAGAGAAAGGGCCAUUGCUCGCUGUGUUCUUAAAUAAGUGGGGAGCUCUUUGUCUCUGUAGACAUUACUUGCCUUCAUGCAUAGUCAUGUUUGUGAGUUUUAUGUAAAUCGAAUCCCAUUUUCCAGUUGACUAGCUGGCCAUUUCUAUUUGUUUUUCCUGUUUUGAUUGAUUCUCUGUCGACAGUGGUGCUUACACUCCAGCUCCGUCUCUCCCUAGCCUCUCUACUGAAGCAUUAACUAUCACUAAACAGGUGAUUAGCUCCACUUGGAGACAGCGGCUUAAAGCAACUUCAGUGAGUCCUGUGACACGCCCUUUGUUAAGUGAAAGCUGCUUCGCUGUCAGCGGUAACCUGCAAUUUACCUGCUGGGGCACUAUGACUCUGUUCUCUUCUGGAAAGUACUGUCUCUUUCACGCCUAGCCCUGUGUUCCCAGAGCUCAUUCCAGACCCCGCCCAGGAGAUGGGGCAGUGACAGCAGAGCCAUGGGUGGCACCAAGGACCCCAGCAGCUGAGAGCCUGGGACAGUCCUCCAGGGUCAGGUCGAUGUCCAAGCCUGACCUUCCCUUCUGGGAAGAACAUGCUGCUUGCCACAUGUGUGUGCUGCAACAAACCCUGGGGGAAUCAGUGUGUGCACGUGUCACACUUCCAAUUAAGCAUAGGGUCUUGGAAGCUGCAGCUUCCUCGCCAUCUUGGGAGAAAACAAAAGCGUCUUGCAGCAAGGCCAAACUUGUUCACUGUAUCCCAGAACCCAAUGUGCGGACAGCAGCCUCGGGACUCAGGCUCUUCACAAAGCACCAGCGGUCCAUGUCCCGUAGUUCCCGACGGUACCUGGUACCAGUUUCGCAUACUGCUAACCUACAUCACGCAGACAGUUAGACUUCUCACACCCUGUGCUUCCCACUUUCCAGGGGCGAAAGCACUAAGACGUGCCGGCACACUCUGGAGAACCCUCCUAGACAAAAAGCAAACCUCUGUCAACUGUCUACAGCUGUCAGACUCGCAGCUGCACAGUUACACAGCCUGCCCCGUUGUGAGAAAGCCUGUAGCUGCUCCAGGUCCUGCCCUUCCACCCUUCAAGUCCGACAGCAUUUUGUGCUGGAAGUUGGAUCUUUUGGACAAGACCAAAUGCAACAGUUGCAAGGAAAAUCUGAUGUCUCGGAAACUUUUCCUAAUGGAAACAUUCCCCCCAAUAAAACUCAGUCAAUAAGUCA